UUAAGUCCCGCAACGAGCGCAACCCUUGUUCUUAGUUGCCAUCAGGUAAUGCUGGGCACUCUAAGGAUACUGCCGGUGACAAACCGGAGGAAGGUGGGGAUGACGUCAAGUCCUCAUGGCCUUUAUGCUUAGGGCUACACACGUGCUACAAUGGGUGGUACAAAGAGAAGCCAACUCGCGAGAGCGCGCCAAUCUCAAAAAGCCAUCCUCAGUUCGGAUUGGAGUCUGCAACUCGACUCCAUGAAGUUGGAAUCGCUAGUAAUCGCGGAUCAGCAUGCCGCGGUGAAUACGUUCCCGGGCCUU
rnacentral:rRNA from 1 species